AGUCACUGACAUUAGAUACCCGUGGUAGUCCAGGGUGUAAACGCUGCAGACUUGGUGUUGGAAGUCCUUUGGGGGCAUUCAGUGCCGGAGAGAAGUUGUUAAGUCUGCUACUUGGGGAGUACGUCCGCAAGGAUGAAACUUAAAGGAAUUGGCGGGGGAGCACCGCAACGGGAGGAGCGUGCGGUUUAAUUGGAUUCAACACCGUAAAACUCACCAGGGAAGACUGUUACAUGAAAGCCGAGAUGAAGACUCUGCUAGAUUUUCAG
rnacentral:rRNA from 1 species